rnacentral:rRNA from 1 species
GACGAACGCUGGCGGCGUGCUUAACACAUGCAAGUCGAGCGGUAAGGCCCUUUCGGGGGUACGACGAGCGGCGAACGGGUGAGUAACACGUGGGUGGACCUGCCCUCAGCGUCUGGGAUAAGCCUGGGAAACGUAGGGUCCGUAAUACUGGAUAUGACUCCACGGUGCAUGUCGGUGGGGUGGAAAGCCUUGUGCGGCUGAGGAUGGG